rnacentral:rRNA from 1 species
UACGUAGGGUGCAAGCGUUUAAUCGGAAUUACUGGGCGUAAAGCGUGCGCAGGCGGUUUUGUAAGUCUGACGUGAAAUCCCCCGGGCUCAACCUGGGAAUUGCGUUGGAGACUGCAAGGCUGGAGUCUGGCAGAGGGGGGGUAGAAUUCCACGUGUAGCAGUGAAAUGCGUAGAGAUGUGGAGGAACACCGAUGGCGAAGGCAGCCCCCUGGGUCAAGACUGACGCUCAUGCACGAAAGCGUGGGGAGCAAACAGG